UUAUUCUACCUGCAGCGAGGCGAGUUAAAUAGACGCGUUGACACUUUAUUUUUUGUAUUUAUUGACACAUAUGGUUCUCGAUAUAUUUAAUUAACUACAUGCAUAGAUUUUUUUAUAUAUAUAUAAUUAGAUUUAAAAAAACACAUUUAAAAAGCUUGCAUAUUUAUUUGUUUUUUGUCAAAAAAAAAUAUCCGACUUGUAUUAUACCAAAAAUGUUGGUCAUGUUCAUUAAAUGUUUUUUUUUUUCAAAUUGAUGCUUUUUUAAUAUACAAAAUAUGUCUAUUAUACUUCAACUAUUAAAACAAUUGACGAAUUAAAGGACAUAGUCGAGAAAUAUAGAAAAUGUUUGGAACCUAAUUAAUAAAUUUUAUAGAUUUGGAAUAUAUUUGAGAAUUGAUAUAUAGGUUUGAAACUAAAUUGCAGUUUCUAUAAUGUGAACUUCCAUGUGUUAGGUAUCCGAAAAUAUCGGCAAAUCUUUUCCAUACAUUGACUCAGGACAUUGAUAGAUUUUCCUAAAAUGUAAUUCACGACUAUAAUAUAUAGUUGAUAAUUAAAUUUACUAUAAUUGAUAAAGUGGUCCCAAAAAAAUAUGUUUGCAAGGGAGGCCAUAAAUGUUUGAUUAGAGCAUUGCUUGAAGGCAAAGCCUUGAAGCCAUACUGAAGUCUUUGGUUCGAUUAUUGUAUUUGUUUUUCAAAGAUACAUAAUUCAUUCAAUCGAACAGAGAAAAGAGGUUCCUUAGCCCCACAACGACAGUGCAGCUUUUAUGGUUCAUUUUUUUUUAAAAAAAUAUUUUUUUAUAUUUUAAAAUUAUUUUAAUUGGCUGAUUUUAAAACUGAAUUUUUUAAAAAUAUAUUAUUUAAUAUAUUUUUAAAUAAAAAUAUUUUAAAAAAUAACCAACAUCAAUUUCGAAACGCUCCUCAAAACACAUCAUGCAUGUACCUAUUCAUGAACUCCAAUUGAUAUCAUGUUCGAAGAAUUCUCAUAUCAAGUUAAUAAUUGAAAGAUUUAAUUCUCAUACAGACUUAUUGCUACAUAUAUUAUUAUUAUUAUUAUUAUUAUUGCGGCAAUGCUAUGUUCCUCUUUCAAGGAAUUAAUUAGGAAUAAUUAAUUAUAUUUAAGAUUGUUCUUAAUAGAAAUAUCAUGAACAUACUAAUAAUGCAUUAAUUAGAGGAUGCGAAAUAAAACACAUAAAAUGUGAAAAUAUAAAGAAGGAAAGCUCUUGUAAAUACAGCUCAUAAAGGUAGACGAUCUAAGAAUUAAAAAGCCAAAUGGAUAUGAAAAUCUGCUUCAAUAUAUUUUAAUAAAUUCCAUCUUAUAUAUUUCUGGUGGUGUUUUGGUCGGUGGAAGGAUGCAUUCACAUGGGGCUAUGAUGGGACGACAGUCUUAUCUCAUUAAUUGUUUUAAAGUAUUUUGAGAAUAUGGUUAAAAUUUAAUUUUUUUUAUUUUUAAAUCAUUUCAAUAUUUUAAUAUUAAAAAUAAUUUUAAAAAAAUAAAAAAAUAUUAUUUUCAUACAUUUCAAUAAAAACAUUUUAAACCACCAUAACUAACGCAUUUCACAUUUCAAAACAAGAGAGUAUUCUGACACCAUCAUAAAUGGUUUACGAGAAGUGAUUGUUGUUUUUUAAAAUAUUUUUAUAUUAAAAUAUAUUAAAACAACUCACGUUUCGAGAGCUUAUUUUUAAAAUUAACGAAUUAAAACAACUCACGUUUCGAGAGCUCUCGAAGGCUUUGAACUGAUUUAGCUGUAGAAAGGCCUAAUCAUGGGCUAAGAUCGUCAACUAAGGACAUUAUAUCGAAUAAGGAAAUGGCGUAGCGCAGAAAUAAACUGCAUAAUGGGUAUAUGAUAAAUCAGUUCGAGAAAACGAUGGUCGAUGAUGAACAUGUCAUGUUCUACUUUUCUUUUUUCGAGCCAAAAAAAACAACAAGAAGCAAAUAUCAAUUUUUUUUUCUUCAAGCUAAAGCUAAAAAAAUGUUUCUUGUUGAAGUCUAAUCCUUGUUUGUUUUCGUGGUGGUGUUAAACUAUUUUUAAAAAUAAUUAAGUUUUUUUUAAUAAUUUUUUAAAAUUGUUUUGAUAUGUAUUAAAAAUAAAUUUUAAAAAUAAAAAAUUUUAUUUUAAUGUAAAACAUUUUAAACAUUUUAAAAAAUAAUAUUAUUAUAAUAAAAUAAGACUAGUUAUAUUAUAUUUGGAAUUCUAUUUAAAAAAUAUAUUUGAAUUAAUUAAUUUUAAUAUUUCUUGACAUACUUAUAUCGAUUGUUAAGAAUAAAAAAAAUAAUUUUUUUUAAUUUUUUUUAAAUAUUCUACGUUACAGUAUCAAUCACAAUAAUGGUGCCUGAGCAGUUAAAAAAUUCAGAUUUGACUUCCAGCCAAUUCUCCCAUUUCAAAAAAGAUUGUCACUUCAGCAAAAGUAAUUAAAAAUUUAAAAUGAAUGCCAGGAAAGAUUCUGACAAAUACCCACUACUAGAAUUAAUUAAAAAAAAAAACUAACACAGUUUCACAUUCAAAAACAAAUUACAGAAAAUGACAAACUUUUGAAAAGUUACGAGAAAACAGUAUAGUUUCUUUAUAUAUAUAUUUUCACUUCAGCAAAAGUAAUUAAAAUGAAUGCCAGGAAAGAUUCUGACAAAUACCCACUACUAGAAUUAAAAUAUAUAUAUAUAUAAUCCAGUCAUGUUACAUAAACUAAAAGAAAAUCACAAUAAUAUAACAUUUGCGAAUUUAAUUGUAAUCUAAUUUUAUUCCUGGUGAUAUUUUACCUGAUUUUAUUGUACACUCAAAAAACCAUGAAAACUGUAGUACUUGUCGGAUGAAUUUCGUACGUGAUAGAAUUGUAGAUAGUUUAAUGGAACAAUAAAAAAUAUUUUAUAUAAAGUAUUAUUUAUUUCAUGAUGUAAUAACAAUAGUUAAAUAUAUAAUAUUUAAAUUAAAAAUCAUCAAUAUUAAUAUAUAUAUCAUUUUUAGUUAUUUUAUAACCUCAAUUUGAAAAGUAUUCUUAACCAAACAUAUUAAAUUUUUUUUUUCAAACUCAAUUUUAAUCACAGUUUUAACGAAAUAUAUAUAAAUAUCAAACUAAUCUCAACCAAAAAUAUUUUUUAUAAAACAACUUUUUUCAAACCAUAACAUAAAAGCUACCAAUACAAAUAAACUCUAAACCGUCAAAGAAUUAGUAAAGUUUGAUUUCGGUCUUUGUUUUGGCGGUUAAUUCCUCUAGCAGUUUGGAGAAAAAAGAAAGAAACAAAGAAAACUAAGGAAGACGAUGGUGCAUGGAUAGACAUAAAGGUAAAGAAAGAAAGAAUUAGAACUCAAGCUUCAGUUGCAAACCCAUCGGUAAAGAAGGAUUCGUGCACCACCACCAUGGCUAUAUAUUCAGUCAUUGCAGAAUGGUGGUGGCUUUCCCAUUUUCCGAUUUCUCUGGCUGGAUAAUUAACAGUGGUCAUCUACAAUAUUACAACAGCAACAGGAUAUUAACAGAAAAAACGUUUACAGCAGAAAAAUCCCAAAUGAUCCAAGAAAUGUAUUGCCAUAUAUAUCUGCAAACUUCAGUAGACUGUAAAAUAAUAAAAAGCACAUGCAGAACUCUUUCUAGCAAAUUAUUAGAGUCUUAACAAUGAAAAAGCCAAUAUCUCGUGAAAAUGCCUUGUUGUUCUUGAGAGAAGUAGGCUGAACAAAUAAAGACAUCAAGCGAUCAUUAAACAUCCCCAACCUGAUAAAAGCAUUGCGUUGCCCUGGCCAGGUUCGCAACAAUUUUGACGAAAGUUUGUGAAUAGGAAUUUAUUCAGUUUUUUUUCAUGUCUUGUCUGUCAAAGUUCUUAUUUCAUGAUGUCUAGCUUCUUCUUCCCUUGCUCCAGUUUCGUGCUUGUCACAUUGAAUUGAUUUUAGAAAAUCACCUCUAGCUGUCUCAUCCUGAAUUCAUAACAAACUGGUGUAAGAAAUAUUUUGUCAGUUGGCAUAAAAGACAGGAAAAAAAAAAGCCAAAUAAAAGAAAAAAGCUUGUGUACUAAUUAUGUCCCUAGAUCGUUUGCAAGUUGUAAAAUCAUUGACGGGUGAUGAAUUACAUCCGAAGAUUGAACAAAGCAUUUCGAAGCUUCCUCGGUUAAUGGGAUUGUAAGAAAGAAGAAACUAUGAGCUAUAUUACAGGUCCAGAUAUGGAUAACUAAGCAUUAUGAAGAUGCCCUUGCAUAAUUGGUUUAUAUCCACUUUGCCUCUUUAAAUAAACUCCACAUAAAUCUUCUUACCGUGCAUCUGAAAUCAAGAUUUUGAGCAUAAAAAGAUAUCGAGUCUUGCAAACAUAGACAUUAAAUUUUAAAGGUAAGACUAAUUAAGGAACAAGUUCUUCGAGGAACAACAUUUACUCCUUUUUCCUUGAUAUCUUCACAGGUCAUUUCAUGGACAUAGUUGUAGAGUGGGAAGAAAGAUAUCUUCAUGUUGAUCCAUUACAUUAAUUCUCAUAUGAAAUCCCAUUCGUUUUAAGGUUUAACAUUUGCGUUAAUUACGUUGAUCUUGUUAAAGAAGCUCAUGAAAUGUACAAAAAGUUUGCUGAACUCUAAACAUCCAUGAAUAGCUCAAGUUUAUUCAUUGUUCCAUAAACCACAAAAAACAUCAUCUAUGAUUAUUACCAACACCUCCUCCAAAAUUCCUUGUCACCACCUAUCACAAACCACACAAAGCAACAGACUUCUAAUAUACUCAAAUGGACACUUGAAGAAUUUAAAAAGUUCAAACAUGAAACCUCACUAACAUGCAAGUUACCAAUAUAGACAUUAAGAGAACCUAGACAUUGAGAAAUGGGUCUAGAAGUUGAAAAUAAGUUAAAGAUCUUAGAGAUAUAGUAUUAUGUUGCCUCCAGCUUCUUGUCUUCAGGAUCAAGAACAUCCUCCUUGUCAUCCUAAUCUUCAGCUACCAUUCAAUGAAGAUGUUACAUUGUCAUCAAAACAUAUCAAUAUAGACGAUACUGAAACUUGAAAAAAAAAAUCAAAUGCAGAGACAAAACAACAAUAGUUACUGGCAAAAAUCAAAAACCUAGCUAGAAACAAAACAUGGAUCCAAAAAUCAAAUGACCCCCGUGUGCAAAUCUCAUACCCUCAUCUAACCUCAACCCUUUGAAAAUAAGUUAAAGAGCUUAGAGUUACAUACCUAGCUAGAAAAAGCAGUCAUCCCAUAAAAGCUUGCACAACGAAGAACAAAGAAAGCAAUGAGAAAAAUAUGCAAGCCAACUAUUUAGUAACAGAAACCAUCUCAAAAAGAAAAGCUUAUAUGCCCUCUUAGAAACCCAAGAUAACCCAAUUCCAAGAGAACGGAUAAAAAAUAAACAACGGCAAGCAAGACCUUCUCACCACAAACAUUCUAAUCAAAAUCAGAAAGGGCUGACAUGAGUAAGUUGGAAAUGACAAAUAAAAAGAGAAAUUUGCAAGCUUACAAAAUCAGAAAAGGAGAAGCAAUUUAUCUGACAAUAGCGCGCCUAACUAAAUCAAAAGAGGGAAAAGAUAUAUGAGAUAUAUACCAGCCAACUUAAUCAACUGGUCAAGAACCAACCGCACACCUAAAUCCCAAAAAAAACUCUCCCACUCUCCCAAUCAGUUGCCUAUGGUAAAGUAUUGUUUUUCCUCGUUGCCUUUUUAUUACCAAUCAUAAAAUGUUUUUCUAGAUAUAAAGCAAGAAUUGAUAAGAAGGGUCAUUUUCACAUAGCAAUAGGGUGAAGAGUGCUUGGGAGAACUGAUCCCAUUGCCUGUAGAAAAUGUGUUCACUGGUAGAACCAACAUAAUUUAUCUUUAAAUCAAAAUCCAGUGGCUUAUGAUUGUUGAAAUUUUGAACAAUUAAACAUUUAUUGUUGUAAGAGAAAAGCUGAAAAUAUUUUCUAGCUUAAUAAGAAUCAAAUUUUGAUGCUAAUAGAUUUCCUCAUUUUAGUGCUUAAGGAUAAGAUGAAACCAGGUUAUAAUUUCAUAUGAAAGCCAUACUUUAAGUCACGGGAAACAUAUAAUAUAAGUAUGAGGGGUGUGCUCCUUGAUGAGGUAAUUAGGAUCAUAAGAUCUUGACAAAUGACCAAUUUUAGGUAAUUCACUAACCCCAUAUAAAUAAUGGACUUCCGAGGGAAAAUAAUUGUUUUAGAUAAGAAGAAAUCAUACUUAUAUAUUAUAUGUAUGAUCAUGAAUAAUAUAAAAAGUUAACCGAUUUCAAAUCGUUAUUGUUCUCUUAAAAAAAUCAAUGUUAACAUAAUUAACUAUCGAGCUGGCCAUGAUCAUCUGGUUGAGUUGACAUUGAAAUUUCUUAGGCCAAGUUGCAUGCUUUUCUCCUCUUUACGUAAUCUAUCAUCAUUUCCUGAGUUUUUUUUUUUUUUUUUUUUUAUCUCCGCAAAAUUCUAUCAUCCGCUAUGAGUUUGGAUCUAAAAAGAAUUACAGAGAAUGUACGCUACCCGAUAUUUUCUUGUCUCUCUUGAGCGAUAAGGAAAAAGAUUUUGGGUCAAGGAAAAAUAUUAUUUUGGAGUUCUAUCUUGCAAAUAUCCAGUAUUUUUUUGAAUUUUUAUGUAAGGAAUUACAGAAGAAAUGUUUUCAACGAACAGAAAGGAGGAUUGGUGGACUAAAUAUGAACGAGUGGAUGAGUUCUUAUUAUUGUUUAGCUAGAUUUUGUGAGUGUUUGUUUUUGUAAUAUAUUUUUUAAAGUAUUUUUUAUUUUAAAAACUAUUAAUUUAUGUUUUUAAUGUAUUUUUAAUUAAAAAUAUUUAAAAAAACUCCCAAUCAGAAUAUUAAAUAUGUAUUUAAACUGCAAAGAACUUUCCCGGUAAACAUCAAUUAUGUAUUUUUCUGCAAAUUAAAUAAUGUUAAAAAUAGACAUUUAAUUUGUAUAUUUAUCAAAUUCCAAUUAUAUAUUAGUCUCUAAGUACAUAUUAAAACGUACAAAUACAUGAUAUAUUAAGAACCUGUUUAUUUUUUCAUUUCAAAAAUACUUUUGAAAAAAAUAAUUUUUUUUUUUACUUUAAAUUAAUAUUUUUUAGUAUUUUAAAUUAUUUUUGAUGUGCUAAUAUCAAAAAUAAUUUUUUAAAAAUAAAAAAUAUAUAUUAUUUUAAUAUAUUUAUAAAUAAAAAACUUAAAAAAUAUAUAUUAUUACACUACCAAUCAUGCACGAGUGUCGAUGGGCGCUCACUAUGUAUAUAUUAUUUUAAUUCCUGAACUGAGUUUCAACAAGAGUUUUCUUUUCUAAUCAUUUCUUUUUUCUAACUAAUCAACGGCCCACAAUCAUAAUAAUCCACCUAAUCAACACCCACAAACCACCAGGACCCUCCCCCAAUUAAAACUUAAACGGUCAACUUCAUCACGCUUCAAAACAAAUAUUAAUCACAUAAAUAAUUCCUUUAUCUUCUGAUUAUAUUCUUCCACAACCAACAGUAGCUCUCUUUUUUCUCUGUGUAGCAAUCCUAAAAGGUUAGCCUGGUGGUUAGAUUUGCAGUCCUUUGUUACUUCACGGGUUCGUAUUUUGUAGGUGGACAUUGACGUAGCUGAGUUGCAAUUCACUGGCUGUGAAUUCUUUCCCUUGUGAUUAGACUUUUGAACCUUACUUGAUGAACUUGUAUGUAUUUUGCUCAAGAAGUUACAUGGAAUAAAUUAAACUGAACAAAUCUAGGGACUAAAAACAACAACAUGUAAAAAAAAAAUUGAAGAGGCAAACAACCAAUCAGCCAUCUUAAUCAAACCUUGUCAUGGUUUGCUCUGCUGUCAUUAUUAGCCUUGUACUGCUGAAUUAUUCAAACCCAAAAAAACACACCAGCCAACACCCGCAUAUGACAAUCAACCUUGUCAUUUGUUGAGUCCUUGAUUGAAGGGCAAUGGGAUUUUUAUGGUAUUGUUUAUAUUCGCAAAAAUUGUCAAAUAUCUGUUGGUGAAUGUUUUUGGAGCGAAAAAUAAAAUAAAAUGCUGGCCAUGGGCCAUAGUAAUCCACAUUUCCACACCCACUUCUGUUCUUGCUCUUUAUUGUUCUUUUUCAGGGCUUUGCUUCCUCUUCACUGAAAGUACUAUUGUCACCAGCUGCUUUGUUCUCCUCCAAAAAACUUGACUGCCCAUUUCCUUACAGGUCUCACCUCUCUGGUAUGUCUACUUGCCAAGAUUUUGUUGUUCUGUUUUUUUCUUUGUGAAAGAAAACUUUUUGGGCUUUAAGUUUUGUUUUGCUUUCACCUUUAGAUUGACCAGUUUGACUUGAGGACACCCAUUUGUUGACUAAGAAAGAUGGGGUGAGAUCUGGAUGUUAUUGUUGCUGUUGAAUUAAUUUGUCUCAAUCAGAUUUGUUUUGAAUCUGGUUGUUGCUUAAUGUGAUCAAGUAUAAAAAAAUGGUUUCUUGAAUGUUAAAAGAAAAAAAAAAUCCCCCUGUUGUGGGUGCUGCAGUUCAGUUUCUUUUGAAAGUUAAUGUGUUUUUAUUGAUGGAUAGAGAGAUUGUUUGUGGGAUUCUAUCUUGUUGGUUGGGAGACAAGAGGAAUGAAUGUUAGUUGCAAGGUAAUGAGAUGGACUAUGAUAGAAUAUUUUGGAACUCUGCUGUUAGUUUCAUGAUCAAAUGAUUGUGUAACCAUAUGAAAUCAAAAUUCCUUUGAGAGGUAUAACACUCAGAUACUAACAUUUUCAAUACUGCAGUAUUUGGUACAAUUUUGUUUUUUGUUUUUUUGUUUUUUUCCACUGCUUAUGAUUUUUUCCCCUAGAUUGCCUACGGUUAUGUAUGUCUCCCAGUUCAAUUUCACACAUGACUGUCUGUUUGGUUGACCACAUAAUGGAAGAAAAGGAUGUUUUUGAAUGCUUUGUAACAUUACCAGUAUGUUGCUUGUAGAAAAGAAAAAGAAAAACUUUGCAAAAUGUACAUAAUGCUGGUGCUGCUGUAUUUUACUGCCAGGUUCAUGUAAAGUUGGAAACUAACAUCUGGCAUCAGCAAUGGGUUCUGGAGACUGGUUUAAGACAAUGAUUAGCAUGAAGAAAGUAAAGGAUGACAGCUCAAAACAACCAAAGGUAUUGAAUCAUCCAAAGCAAAUUUUCUGUCAAUGCAUUUUGUUCUUCUUUGUAUUUUCAUAAUGAAUCCAUAUCCUUUACCUUGAUAAGAUUUAUUGUAAUCUGGCCAUUCAAUUCUUUUAUUAUAAACUACUGCUGAUUCAAGACUAUUGCAAGGUUGUUACGUUUAUUGUUGGAAUUGUUGUUAUUAGGAUAGUGGUGAAAAAAGUUCUUCUUUUUUAACUUAUUAUAUGCGACCACAUCUGUUUCUGCAAUCUGAACAGGGCUCUACAACUUCUGCAAAAUCAAAUGGCUUCAAAUGGAAGAACAAGCUACGAAAAGAAUCUGCUAUUUUUGCAAAUGGUUCCAGUAGGGCCAAUCCCAGAUUUAUUGACAUGCCAGUCGAGGAUGUGGCUGCCACUCAGAUUCAAACAGCAUUCAGGGCCUAUAUGGUAUGUCCAUUGUCUGUACUACCUGUACAACACAUGGAUGCAUAUUCAUACAAAUGGAAAGACAUGCAUAUUUGAAUGGACAAUGGUUCAUUAAAUCAUUUCCUAAUGGUGCAGGCUAGGAAAACUCUUCGCCGUUUGAAAGGUACUGUGAGGUUACAGAUCAUCACUAAAAAUUAUUCUGUCAAAAAGCAAGCUGCAACUACUUUGAACUACAUUCAUUCUUGGAGCCAAAUACAGGCCCAGAUUAGAGCCCGUAGACUCUGUAUGGUUACAGAAAGCCGGUUAAGACAGAAGAAGUUAGAGAAUCAACUAAAACUUGAGGCAAAGCUUCAUGAUCUGGAGGUUAGGAUAUAAUUUCAAUGCUUAUACAAUCAAUCAAACUAAAACAAUGAUUUUCUUUUGUAUUGAUAUAGAUUUAAUGGAUGUUGUAAGUUUUUGCUGUAAGGGGAGGUUGAUGUAGAAAUACUAUAUGCAGUCACAUCCAUGGAAUUUGGUUCCUUAAGACUUGUCACUCUCUGCGGUUUUAAGAUUGUUCAUAUGUCUACCCGCAGAGAAUACAAAAUAAUGAUGAAGGUCAUUUAUUCUCUUUCAUUAGGAAUCGAAUGCUCGGAAUUUAUUUUUUUAGCUGUAGUCUGUUGAUGUCCACAAAUUAUUCUCCACUCCAAUUAUUAUAUGAUCCCUUCUCUCUGUAAGAGUACUGAUUGAAAUGAAUGACAGGUUGAAUGGUGUGGUGGCUUUGAUACAAUGGAGGAAACUCUUGCAAGAAUACAUCUGAGGGAAGAAGCAGCAGUUAAGCGGGAACGGGCGAUGGCAUAUGCCUUUUCUCAUCAGGUAUUUGAAAUCCCAAAAAUGUUUUUUUCAUUGUAGUUUCCUGGAAGGGGCAAAAACAAAUUGGAAAUGACCACAAAAAUCCCAUGAAUUACAGUGGAGGGCCAGCUCUGGUCAUAGCCUCGGGCUUGUUAAUUUUGAACUUGGGAAAGCAAAUUGGGGCUGGAGUUGGAAGGAACGCUGGAUUGCUGCUCGUCCAUGGGAAAGCCGGGUCCCUGUGAAGUCUGCUAGUCCAAAGAAAGUGAAGAACAAGCAGGCUAAAAAGGUUGAUGAAAACACAAAGUUGCAAACCAAAAAAACACCAGUUUCAUCCAAGCCAUCAUUGUCCAAUGGGAGAGUAAAUCCAACAGCACGGAGAUUAUCUUACCCUCCAGCUGAAAAACGGGCAACACUUGAGAGAAGCAUUAAAUCUGAUGCAGCAAACACUAAACGUGAACACUCGGUAUCUUAGUACGAAGCAAAAUUAUAAAUCGCAAAGACUUGAUCCUACUUUCAGUCAUUUUUGUUUCAGAUAAGAAAGGAUGUGUUUUUAUGCUCAUUACUGAUUUUGUGUAAGUGGAGUGGUGUGAUAGUGGUAUGCUUUUGCAUAUAGUACAGAAACUAUAGAUCAGGCCUGGUUUUAUGAAUGACAAUUGUCAUUCUUUUUGCGUUUUCUCCUUGAUAUAUUUUUACCUUUUCUUUUUUCCAAGUUCAUGUGUAUUUAUGGUGUAAAUAGACAUCAUUUUUUUGGUGGUGGAUUUGUGAUGUAUUUAAAGUCUUAUCAAUCCUUGCUAUUAAUUAGUGUUACUGAUGCAUGACGAAAGAUAUUUGAAGUUAAAGAAGAAAGAAAAAGAAGAAAAAGCCAAAUAAAAAGAAGAAAAGGCUGAAGAAGAAGAGAAAGAAUGAGGUUGAAAAGUAUGUAACUUGUAAAUUUUAUUUAAUUCAUAAAAAAUUGUUUAAUAUUUGAAAAAAUAGGGUAUAAAUACUAAAAUUCUAAUUAACACAAAUAAUCGAGAUUAUAGCCCAUUAAAUAAAAUACUCAAUAAUAAUUAAAUCAAACUCAACAAAUAAAGUCUAAUUAAUAAAUUUCAACUAAAAAUUCAAAUAAAUUGAACCAAAACAUAAGUUAAAUCUCAAUCUCACAACUAUUAGGGCUACCAUUUAUCGUCUAUGAUCAUACGAGUGUGUAAAUAGUAUCUCGGGUUCAGUGUCCCAACCAACUCUCCCAGGGUUGGAGAAACUUGAUCUCGUCGAGUAUAGUUCAAAGCAGCUUCAAUACUGCUCCUAAAAAGAUCAUGAUUAAGUUACUGUGAAGUUUCUCUGAUAAUUCAAGUAUAGUAUGAAUUUGAUCGUCUAACUCAUAUACUAGAAUUCAUUAAAGUUCACCAUCUCUAGUAAAAACAACUUGUGCAUCCAAAAUAGCAUUAAUAUGUUCUUUUUGUGCCAAAGAUAAUAAUAAUAAAACAGGGUUUUCAAAAUGAGCAUUAGAGAUAAGUUGUAUUUUAUAUAGAACAAAGUCUUUCAUGUUUAAAGUAGAGCUAAUAUCAAAGUUUGAUGUCAGUUUAGUGACAUAACUAUUUGAUUCAAUCAUUUGCAACACUUUGAAUGGUCUAAUAUUACCCACUUGAAAUUUAUGAUUGAUUUUCAAAGGACACCGUUCAGGGCUAAUUUGUAUCACAAAAUAAUCUUCAACAUUAAAGACAUCAUGAUACGUAUAUAAAUCAACUUAAAAUCUGUAUUAUUCAUUACUUUCUUGAAUUUGUUUUAUGAUCUCAACAUGCAAAUUAUAAACUCUACAUGCAAAGGAUUAAGUUGAAUCAGACAUUUUAGAGUGAAUAGACAUAGGAAGAAGAUUUACAAACUUUCUAGGUUCGUAACUACUAACACUAUAUGAUUCGAGGUUUUAAGUAGAACAAAAACUAUUUGAAGCCUUAGUCAAUAUAGUUUGGACACAACCUAGUAAAUUAUGAUUAUCUUUAUCUUCUUCAUUUUCAUAACCUAAAUUUGAACUUAUUUGCUUUAAUUUAAUUUUUUCAAGGGGGUUAAAAUUAGAAAUUAAAAGAUUAGGGACCAACAUUUAUUAAGGGAACUUCAAUUGAUAUUCAUCAUUGUUAAAAUUAUGAAUAUCAUUUAUAAUAUUCAUUGAUGUUAGAGUUAGAAAUAUUCAGAUUCAUCAAUGUUAGAAUUGAGAGUUCCUUCAAUAUUUACCAACAUUUAAUAUUCACUAACGCUGGAGUUAUGACUAUUUAUACCAGAAUUAGAAAUAACUUUGAACCUUAAUAUUCAAUGACGUUAAAGUCAAGAAUACCAAACCUUUUUUAUGUGGUACUUAUCAACACUUGAGUUGAAAGUAUUUUUCAUCGAAUAUUCAUUGAUACUAGAGUUGGGAAUAUAAUCAGCAAUGCAGCCUACCUCAUAUAAAACACUUAAGAGGUGAUAAUAUCUUCCUUUUAAGGUAACUAAUCUUGUACCAUAGAAUCUAUGUUGAUCGGUUAGGGUUUCUAGUGAUCAUAAUACUAGGUGGUGACUUCUCAAACAAGACAUUUUUCUUGUAAGAACAAGAUGUUAUAAAUCUGUUCUUUUUUUAAAAAAAAAUUAAAGGUUACCAUGAUGUCGGAGGUGACACUCAACAUGUUGCUUUAAACCUAUAACGUGUUGGAUGUCAAGCAUGAUGGGUGGAGAAUCAAGUGGUUUAAAAUGACUAAUAUCAUGAGACUCUUCUAAGAUCAUAUUUAUCUCUUCAGACGAUUUUACUAAAGAGUUUUCUAAAAUUUCUUCCUCUACCACCAAAGUAAACUUUUUAUUAUUAUUAUUAACCUUAUUUUUAGACUCAUUUGGAUUUAUAAUGUUAAUUCUUUCUUGUUGCACAUCUUCUUCAUCUAGGUCACUAAAAUCCUCAGGAUUGAGUUCAUAUACUUGCACAUAAUAGUUUUCUUUUUCACCUAUAUCUUUAUGUUCUUGGAUGACUAAGGAUUUAAAGGUGUAGUUGAAAACAAUAUGAUCGAAACCUUGAUAGUUAGCAUACUAAACCUUUGAACUUAUCCUACACAUUUUAUUAAUGAUUUUUUUUCCCUUAUCUUCUUUAUAAAUUUGGGCACUACUAGAAUUAGAUCUAUAUGAUAGAGCACCUAACAAAAAACCAUCAUUCCUAAAUUGAUAUCUAAAAAGGGUAUUAUAAGGGUCUUGACAUUUUAUCCAUUGACUCUUUAUAAACAACUCAUAAUCUUGUUUUAUAAUAUAAGCUUAGUCAAUAGUGAAAGCACCUAUAAGCCUCACAUCUUUUCUAAAAUCAUCAUUCAAACUUUACAAAAUCUACACAAAGUCAUGACUUUAUUUUCCCUUAUGGCAUAUCUUAUCAUGUAAUCAUUAAAUUAUGAGUAUAUACUCAUUGACAAACUUUUCCAUUAUCUUAGAUUGUUCCAUUGAUAUAAGAGUUUAAUCCUAUAAGACUGAGGUCGGUACUUCUCUUGUAGUUUUUCUUUUAUUUUGGUUCAAUCAGUUAUGAGAGGUUUACCUCUUUUUUUCUAAACAAUCUUCAACAUCUCCCUAAUAAAAUCAGGCUUCAUUAAUGAUCAUCAUCUUAGCAAAUCUAACUCUCUUAUUACUAGACAAGUUGUUCUAAUCAAAGAAUUGAUUCAUGUCACAAGUCCACAUAUCAAAUAUCCAAGGAUCAUAACGACCGUCAAAAUUAAGGGUUUCUAUUUUGUUAGGGCUCAUGACUUGCUUAUUAAGGUUAUUGUGUUUAUAGUAAUCUAAAUGUUGAUGGCGCUCAUGGUGAAUUUAUCUAUAAUGAUUAUUCUUAUGAUAUUUAUUAGUUUUUGGGUGCCUUAUUCAAAAACUCUCAUAGGGUUUAAUUCUUUUAAACAUGAUGGUCAUCUGGGUUUGCAGCUCCCCUCAAAUGGCCCUAAGAGUAUUAUUAUAGGUCGGGUCCAUGGUAAAUGUGGACUGAAGUUUGGACACUAGAUGAUCAUGAGACAAAUGCAUGCAACACUAACUUAAAAAUUUAAUUGAGAUCACAUAUGAUUCUUACAAGUGAAAUCACACUAUAAAAAUAAAACUAAUUUCAUUUUUUUUUAAUGUGGAUAUUAAUCAAGAACAUAAAACACCUAGAAAAUUUAAGAACACAAUGUUGGACCUUUAAGUAUAAACAAUUAAUCAAAUAAAGUCAUAAUGUUCCACCAUUUUCGAUAAGCUCCAUAGUUAAUACAAAGUACUAAUGACUAAAUUUGAAUGGCAAAGAUAUAAAGUGAACAAAAAUAUAGGAGUAUAAUGCAAUAUGAGAUCUUUUUUAGGCACAAAAAAUACUAUUAAUGAUAUGUUGAAUACCAAGUGUAAUACUAGAACAAUAAAAUUCAACGUAUCAAAAAGUAAAGUGAUUUAUUAACUAGAUUGCUUGGUGGGAAGAUAUUGAAAGUUACUACUGCUAAAAUGACGAAGACUAUUGAUAUGGUGAAGACUAGCUAACGUGGCGUUGACACGUCAGUACUGACUUAUAUGGCGCUGACAUGGCACAUGUGUUGAUGUGUUGGUGACGUGUUAGUGUACGUUGACAUGGCACUGACAUGCUGGUGUGUUGUGAUGUGGUGUUGAUGUGGCUGUGUCAUUUAAUCUCUCUUGAUAGACUAGGAUAGUGGUUCCUUUGUUGUUGCUGAAGAUGAAAAUUUGUUGUGGCUGCCGAAGGUCUAUGUUGAAGAUGAACAAUAGUUUUUUUUUAUUUGGGCCGUAAACAGAAAGAUUAAUUUUUUUUCAAUGUUGGAUCAACAUUUGAUUAUGAUUCAACACAAGCCCUAAUAGAUCCAUUAAUUAUAAGAACAAUUAAAAAAUUAUGCUACGAUAUCAAAGUUGAUACGGGACAAAAUAAAUUUGAAGCCAAAGAAGAAAGAAAAGAAGAAGCUAAGAAGAAAAAACCAAAGAAAAAGAAGAAAAUGUUGAAGAAAAGAAAGAAUGAGGGUUGAAAAAGUUUACAAUUCUGCAAAGUUUAUUCAAUUCAUCAAAUAUUGUCUAACAUUUAGAAAAAAAGGAUAUGAAUACUAAAACUCUAAUUAAAACAAAUAAUUGGGCUUAAAACCCACUAAAUAAAAUAUCCAACAAUAAUUAAAUCAAACCCAACAAAUAAAGUUUAAUAAAUAAAUCUCAACUAAAAGUUUAAAUAAAUUAAACCAAAACAUAAGCUAAAGCUCAAUUUCUCAAUGGUUUAGACUACUCUCUAUCAUCUAUAAUUAUAUGAGCACGUAAACAGUGUCUCGAGUAUAGUGUCUCGUCAGUUACUGUUUGGGAAUUCUUAUCCUUAUGUUGCAAGACAUUGUUCCAUCUUUCGAUCCAUUCUUUCUACAUUACUAGUGCACUUCAUUUCUAUAAGUUGGAUGGUAUGGUUUUCCCCAUUGUUUCUCUAAGAAAAGAUUGUGAGGGCCAUUUGCAAAUAGAGUGGAAGCUGUCAACAAAACUCAUUUGUUUGAUUUGAGAAGUUUUCUUGAGGUUCUGCAAGGUGCAUUCUUUCUCAAUUGCCAAGUUUCUUUAUCAGCAGUUUCCUUUUUCAACUUAAAGGAUAAAGAGUUCCUCUACUUGGUUAUAACUUUAGAAGUAUAAUGCUUGGGCUGAUGUCUUGGUAAAGUAUGUUAGAGAAUAAUAUAAAUCAUAUCUUGAAAUCUUACCUAAAAGUUUAAGUUAUUGGGUUGAGAUGGUUCUUUGACAUAGUAUCAGAGUCUUUAUAACCAAGCGGUUACGGGUUCGAAUCUCACCAUUCUCAUUUAUUUAAUAAAAAUUAAGUAUAAGGUAAUGUGAGCUUGUGCAAGUUUCAAGUUCAAAAAGUUUUUAUUUAAGAGGAUAUAUUAGAGAAUAAUAUAAAUUAUAUCUUGAUAUCUUACUUAAAAUUUUAAAUUUUUAAAUGAAGAUGGUUCUUUAAUAAAAUAAACAAGUCCAGCUAGAAUGAAUUCGUGGAUAAAACAAGUGAACGCUGACGUCAAGCAAUAAAAUCUUCGUUUAUGAGAUUUACUCGGGUUCGUGAGAAAGGAAAUUCACUCGGUUCGGUGGUUCAUGAGAUUUAUGAUUGCAUUUUUUGCCACCAUUUCUGGUUAAUAAAGGAUUUAGGCCAACUUCCUUACCCACCACAGUUUCUUGCUUUCUAGCUUUCACCAAUUAAAGCAAGCCACUUACUGAACCAUUCAAUUACUCCUCUGUUGACAGGCAGCUCAGCAAAAGGCAAUCUGUCUUUUUUGGCACGUGCAUGCGUCCUUAAAACUUCUAUGGCUUACCGGCCAACCAAAUCAUUAUGAACCAUUAUUUGUUCUUAAUGAUGUUAAUCCUUGAUUCCUUAUUUUGAUAGACCUUGCCUAGAGCGUGGAAGCGAGCCACGAGGAGGUCAUUAAUUGUGAAUAUUCAUGUGUUUGGCACGUGUGUGUGUGUGUGUGUGUGUGUGUGUGUGUGUGUUAAUGGGAUAAAAAGCAUGGAUUUAAUCUCGGCAAAACUAAGCUAAUUAUGAUACUGUUGAUCACAGGAUAACACAAAAUUACUGUCAUAGUUGUUAUGUUUCUAUUUUGGGGAAGAGUGAGUGAGAAAAGCAUUCCAUUUUCACAAUCCUAUAGUUUUAUUUUUUCAAAGAUAAUUCUAUAGUAGUAUUGCUUUUGCAUAAGUUGGACAUAAAAACAUAAAAUUCUAAUUCUAUACUAAUGAGUUCUAAAAUUAAAGAUACUUGGAAAUAAAGCUAAUAUGUUAUAAAAUUAAAGAUACUUGGAAAUAAAGCUAAUAUGUUAGAUAAUUGAUUAAUCUUUAAAUUCAAACAAUUUAAUUCAUUUUUCAUAAUCAAGAUAUCUAAUGACUUGAUAUGGAAAGUUUAGAAGGUUGGUAAAUAGUAGGUGAUGCCUUAUAAGCCAAGUGGUCGAUAACUGUGGUAAUAACAAGUGGUGCUUGGUAACCCAAAUGACCGGUAACUGGUAGCUGGUACCUGGUACCUGUCAAAUGUCUUCUUUGAUGAACGUGGGGAUUCUCUUAUGGUAAAGUCAGUAACUUUAUAGAAAAAAAGUGCAAUGAUAUUUUAGAGAGAUAUACUUUUAAAAUAUGUAUACUAAAAAUAUUGAGAAUUAAAAGAUUGUAAACCUUUGACUUGAAGGAUUCAUUGUGUAUUUAUAGCCUAUAAAUCUUAUCUUUUUGUGGAGAAAAGGGGUUGGAGUGUAAUUUUACCAUUGUGAUGUUUUGAGUUGUAUUUUACUCAAAAUAAUAUGUAUUGGAUUAAUAUAAAAUACUGAGUGACCUGCGUGGGAUCCUGAAAAAAUUCCUAGCGAGUGUUAGGCUCGGGCCCAUUAGAGGUGAGAAAUGAAUCCAGAUGUGCUUCCCGGAUCCAAUCAUGUUGGGCUUAGGGUGCGCUCUCGAGCCCAUAGAGGUGCUGGGCUUUCACCAAAUUAGGUGUACGCCUUGCAUAGACUCAUGUUUCUUACUCGAGCCCAUGCCUUCUAGGAAGCUGGGCUUGAGUUUCCACGCCCGAGCCCACUCUUUUUAGACCCCCUAUUGUAAAUUAGGUUCGGGCUACUAAGCUCAGUCAAGGGGUUUUUUUGAUUUUUUUUUAAGAGAAUUUUUUACGUUCAUUUUGGAAUUUUGGAAGGGGUUAUUUGGAUACAUCAUACACUGAAUGUUAAUUGAAAAUGAUCUCCCACACAAUCGUUUAUGGUUUGAAUUCAAAAAUAAGAUAAGAAAAAAAAAUCUAAAUGAUAUAAGAAAUGAUUAGGAAGAGAUGUAAUCUCAUUGUUUAAAAGUUAUCGUAUGAGUAACCUAAUUAUUGUUAAUAAUAAUAUUACUUCUAAAAAACAUAAUUAAUGAUGCUUCAAUUGAAAACAACCAUAAUCUCAUAAGACUGGGUUGUUUUGUUUUUUAGUUUGAAACUUUUAAAAAUCAGCAUACAUAAUAAUUUAUUUAUUUAAUUAUAUCAAAUUAAUAAUCCUCUUUUUCAUUGUAGAAAGUAGUGCAUCCUUUACCGCAGGGGUUAAAAAGUUAGUUUCCACUUUCAAUAAGAUACAGGCAUUGAAUUGAAUGGCCUGCUACAUUUGUUAAAACCCUUUAAAGGAAAAAAAAAAAAAAAAAAAAAGCUCCCUCCUUUAAUGCAUACAUAGCAAUAAUCACCGAUCAAGCAAAGCUAUUGAUUCUCUUAUAAAUAGUCCUAUUAUGCCAAAAAUCAUCAGCCCAUGAUUUCAUUGUUGAGAACAAAGCUAUUACUGUCUUCAUCACCGCAUAAAGCACCAAUCUUUACAGUCAUGGAUUCUUAUGGAUCACAAAGACUUGUGGCUUUGGCCCAGCAGCUUCGCUUCUACAAGCCACCCUCUCUAUCACCAGAUGAAAUUGAAGAGCAAAACAUAGAGGAAAGUGCAGGUAAAGUUGUUCCCCAAGUGGGUUUUCAAGAAUCUGCAACCUCAAUUGUUAAAGACCCUGAAAGGUUGAGACCCAAUAGAGCUGCUGUUUUGGUCUGCAUCUUUGAAGGUGAUGCUGGUGAUUUUCGUGUCAUUUUGACUAAGAGAUCCUCCAAAUUGUCUACUCAUUCAGGUUAGUGGUUUUUUUCCUUCUCUCUCUCUCUCUCUCUCUCUCUUCUUAUGAGAAUUGGAGAUUUUGAAUGCUGAUUGUUUGCAGAUAUUCUUUCCUUAACUCUGGGAAUCUGUUGUCAAUUCAGUUGAAUGAAUGGUUAUUGCGGCUGGCUGACUUUUGGAUGCUCUUUGUUUGGUUGGUGAUGCAUGUGCCAAAAUUUUCAUUUCUGUAGUAAUUCAUGAUGAAAAAUAGAGUUUAAGGCAAUUCAGUAAGAUAAUUUAUCCCAAAGUUUAAGUUUUUGCAUAAUGUAGUUAAUAGUAAUUGCUCUUAAAUUAUAAGUCUCAACUUGAGUGAUGAGACUGGAUAAAGAUACGAGUAAGGCUGUAGAAGAUAAAAAGAAUUGAAUCUUAUUGCUCUCUUUUGAGUUUUACCCCUAAGGUCAAAUUUUUUGAACUCAGCUCAACUGAAUUGUUAUAUGCUUAAAUAAAUGUUCAAGCAAGGUUUAAAAUUGGAAUCAUUUUGUCUUUUUGUCAUGCAUUGUUGAAGUGAUCAGAUAGAGCAAAAGUUGUUGAACUUAAGAGAAUUUGAAAAGAAUUGGAGAAAGGAAAGAAAAUUUCAAAGACUUGACGAUUCGCUUGAGUGGUUAAGGUAGUUGUCUGAGGUUCAAUUAGUUGGACAAUUUGAGUCUUGUAUAAUACAAAGCUUUUGGUUAGCAUUUGUUAAUGAAGACUUGAGGUUGAAAUUUGCUGUUCUUUUCUCUUUUUGUGGCCAAGCAGUGAAAAUGUAAUGGCAACACCGAUGACUAAGAUAUAGGGAGCGGUUGUUGAUUGUUCACUCCACUAAGUGGGUGUUUUUGGUUGCAGGUGAAGUUUCCUUACCUGGGGGAAAAGCAGAUGAGAGUGAUAAGGAUGAUUUUGAGACGGCAACAAGGGAAGCGAAGGAGGAAAUUGGGUUAGAUCCCUCACUUGUGAAUGUCGUUACUGUUCUUGAACCAUUUUUGUCUAAGGUAUGAAAAGGAUGCUUCUUCUAUGGUCUUGGAAUUUAUGGACUUUCUGUAUUUUAUGGAUGAUGGUUUCUGCUGAUUUGCAUAUUAUUUCAUUUGACCGACUACCCUGUAUGAUUGACUCAAAACUUGCUUGGGACAGGGGAGUUGUUCUUGUAAUGUUGGUUGACAGCUUGAGGUUUAGACCCAUAGUGACCCUUGUCGAAUGAAACCUAGGUAUUGUCUUAACAUAAGAUUACCAUAAAGUAGGUGAGAAUUAUUGUCAAACCUUAAUGAACCUUGUGAUCAGCCCCUGUUAUCGGGGGUAAAUAGUAAACUUUCUUGUCUUUACUCUUUUUAGGGGGUUUUUUUUUUUUUUUUUUUUUUGGGGGGGGGGGGGGGGUGGGGCUCGGUGUGGUUUGCUUCGAUAAGGAAGUGAGGGGCCAAAAUUUGAUGGGUUCUACAUAUAAGUGAUCUUGAUACUACUUCUCGCCAUAUAAGUAUGUCAUGGUAGUUGGUCCAGUUUAUUUGAAAUGAAUUGUUUUAUACCUUUCAAAGAAUAGGUAGUCGAGGAAUGCUUCCAUUAAUAAGUUGAUCAUAUCUGGAAGUUAUGAAGACAAUGCUAGAAUGCUUCCUAAACGAGACUGGCAAACACAGAUGUGUUGCAUCACAUAAUUGUAAACUGUUCACAAUCCGUACGGUCAUCCAUCAUUUAUGUAUCAUGAGGUUGUUUGAAAGUUUAGUGGCUCCUUUCUAUCGCACAUUUUGCUUUCUCUUUUGACAUGAACAAAUUUUAUUCUAAAGUCAGGGCUUUUAAGGUGAACAACCUCCUAACCAUGAGAUUUCAGAACAGUGCAAAAGGAUGCUUCUGUUAGCUGUCUAGCUCUUUUCUGCAACGAAACUGUGAUAAUCGGCAUUAAUUAUAUAGGACAAUUAAUUAAUGAGAAAUCAUGUAGGAAAAGAACGCUCAUUUUUAUCACAUGUGCAUUCUCUACUCCACUCUCAUUUCUGCUUUCUUUUAGCUGAAACAUCAUAUGCCAUGAUGAGUUCUAGGCCAGGAUCCAAAAUCUGUUACCCACAGAACUUCAGUCGUGGAUUUCCUGACUAGUAUUCUGAUUUUG
rnacentral:lncRNA from 1 species